AUGAAUAGCACCACUCUUUACAAAAAAAACAAAUUGGACAAAAGACUACGGGUAAUUUAUAAACAACACAUACACUCUUCAUCUGUGCUGAUUUUAAAUCGAAACUCAACUUACCACAAUAAUAAAAAUAACAGCCAAAACCUGGAGAGUAUUUCAAAAAAGUCGGGCAGUUCUAUAGCUAUUUUGUAUUUGUUUCAUACACAUGUACUACAUAAUUAUAUAAUUUUUAUCAGGUGGUAUUGA